AAACCGUUGAAAGGGAAGCGAAUGGAGUUAGCAAUUCGCCCAGCCAGAUUCAGUUGCUCGCGCCUCGCGACGAGCACGCUCUCGAUCCGCAUGGACGAGACGUGCUCGGGUGCGACGUGUGGACGGCGCACUUCUGGCAGGCGAGCGUCAGCGUCGGUCGUCGACGAGCGAUAAGGUCGCAAGCAAGGUAGACGUGCCUUCGGGCGCGUUGUUAAUAAAGACUCGCGUUCGUAUAGCUCGACGGCGACCGUGGCUUCUUCUCGACGACGCGUGCCUGGCUGGCGACUCGCGCGUUCGGUCCGGCAUGUCGACUACGGCGGACGGCACGCCUGUGCGCUCGAACUGCUGCCGGUCGCUCGCACGAUGCUCGCACACAACGCGUCGAAGAUGCUGACGACCAUACGGCUCCAUCCGACCCGUCUUGAAACACGGACCAAGGAGUCUAACAUGUGCGCGAGUCUCCGGGUGAUCGAAACCCGUGGGCGCAAUGAAAGUAAAGAUCGUCCUAGACGAUUGAGGUGAGAAGCGCGCUCCCCGGGGCGCGCUGCAUCAUCGACCGACCUAUUCUGCUCUCAGAAAGGUUUGAGUAAGAGCGUAUCUGUUGGGACCCGAAAGAUGGUGAACUAUGCCUGAAUAGGGUGAAGCCAGCGGAAACACUG
rnacentral:rRNA from 1 species